rnacentral:rRNA from 1 species
UACGUAGGUGGCGAGCGUUGUCCGGAUUUACUGGGCGUAUAGGGAGCGUAGGCGGACUUUUAAGUGAGAUGUGAAAUACUCGGGCUCAACUUGAGUGCUGCAUUUCAAACUGGAAGUCUAGAGUGCAGGAGAGGAGAAUGGAAUUCCUAGUGUAGCGGUGAAAUGCGUAGAGAUUAGGAAGAACACCAGUGGCGAAGGCGAUUCUCUGGACUGUAACUGACGCUGAGGCUCGAAAGCGUGGGGAGCAAACAGG